GCUAAUUUUUGUAUUUUUAGUAGAAAUGGGGUUUCACCAUGUUUGCCAGGAUGGUCUCUGUCUCCUGACCUCGUUAUCCACCCACCUCACCCUCCCAAAGUGCUGGGAUUGCAGGUACGAGCCACUGGGUCCACCCUCUCAGGUGAUUUUCAUACCUGCAUACUCUGAUCACUACUCUGUUAAACAGUCAAGGAGGCUGAGUGCCACGUGCUGACAUCACUAAGUUCAAUACAGCAAACUCUGAAAGAUGGACAGAGAGACAGGAGAUGGUCCUUUAUAAUGCAGUGUGAUCUGUGCUGCAAUAGAGGUGAGCACAAGGGCCUUACGAAGGCUCAAUGAAGAGCAUGCUUGACUGCAGGGGAGGGUACUUAGGUUAGAAUAGAUGAAUUGAAGUAUGUUCAUAGGGAGCAUGGGAGGAGAGGUGGUGGGAAAGGUGUUCCAGACAGUGUGUGUCAAGGCCAAGACCCAGGGGAACACAGGUGGGGCUUCUUUUUUUUUCUUCUAAGAUGGAAGAGUGUUCUGAUCGGCUGGAAAACAACGCACAUGGGAAGCUGUACAGAAAUGAGUGGGGAAAGGUAAUACUUAACAGCAAUAGCAGUUAAUAUUUAGUGCCCACUUACGACAUGCUGGACACAGUUCCGGGUACUCUGAACAUAUUCACUCAUUUAAUCUUUACAACAACCCUAUGAGGUAGGUACUAUUAUUAUCCCCAUUUUCAGGUGAGGAAUCUGAGGCACAGAGAGAGUAAGUAUGUUGCCCAGGGCCACGCACCAAGUAUGUGGUAGGUCCUGGAGUUGAAUGCAGAGCCCCUCCACUCUAAACUCCUGAAAGCCAGAUGCUACAAGGCGUUGUUAUUCCAAGUGGAGGAAUGCUAAGGACAGCAUCCUGCAGGUGACCAGGAAACCCUGAAGCAUUCAAAGCAGGGGAAUGGCUUAAAACAAGGUGGUAUAAGAAAGUGCUCCCAGAGCAGCAUGAAAGUCUGGUGUAGUGGAGGUCUCCGCUAGCCACAAGAGGUGGUAAGAGGCUGAGCUGAAGCAGCUGCAGCAGGGAUGCAGAGGAUACAUUCCCCAAACCCUUAUGGGCAGAGUCCUUUGGCUUCAGUGACCACGGCCAAGGGUGCAGAGGAGAAGCCCAAGAAGAUGCCAGGUGUCUGGCUUAUGCCCCUGUGUGAACGUGAAGCCUCUCAUUGACAUGCAGGUUACAGGAGGAAAAGCAGGUUUAUUUGGGAAGGAGGCUUCUAGACCAUGACUUCCAUUUAGCCAUGUAGUUUUUGAAGUGCUUGUACAAGUUCUAGGUGGAAAUGUCCAGGAGCAGUGGGAACUCAAAGUAGAUCUCCAGGAGAGAGGCUUAGGCCAGAGGGCUUGGGGAAUCAUCAGCAUGGGGGUGGGAGGAGAGCUGGUAUUUGGAUGAGAUUGCGGUGGAGCAGAACAGAGUGGGAAAAGGUCGGUGAUGAACCAGGACUCCAGUAGCGGUAGCUGGCUGUGAGAUUAGGACAGCAAUGAAGGAGGCCAGAAGGAUGUGGGGGAGAACAUCAAUAAGGAAUAAAUUAGUUGCACGUGCUCCAGAGAGGCAAAUAAAGACUGGAUUUGGCUCUCGCAGGUCAUACAGAAAGAAUCUGGAACCAAAAGGAAACCGUGGUGGUUUAAAGGGUAUAUUCAGUUUCUAGUCUGCUGUCACAAAAUACCAGAAACUGGUGUCUUGUUAAACAACAGAAUUUUUUCUCUCACAGUUUUGGAAGCUAGAAGUUCAAAACGAGGUGUUGCAGCACCAUGCUCUCUCUUGAAGAUGCUAGGAAGAAUCUGCUCCAUGCCUUUCCAUUCGUUCUGGGGUUUCCUGCAAGCCCAAUAGUAAAAACAAAUUUAUCA
rnacentral:lncRNA from 1 species